CGAGUAUCCUUGUUGUGUUGAAAAAGAGGUAAAAUGUGUAAAGUCCAGAUGCUGAGAGCGUUGGUGGAGCAGCGACUAACUGCGGCUGCUGAAGAGAUAUUUGGGGUGUUUGAAAGAACGAUAGCAGAGUACGAGGAGGAACUUUGGUUCAGUUCAAAAGAGAGA